AUGUGUAGCCGACAGUCAAGUCCAACCGUAGAACAGUGCUGCUGCUGUGCAUCACAUGGCUUGAAUUUAGCAUCGUCCACAAAUCGUCUGCGUGGCAUCGUGUGUAUAGCAGCGUUCUUGACACAAAGCCAACUCCCUCCCGUGCUAGUCGGCAACCGGCAACCAAACUACUCCCGCAGAUCGAUCCUUGGGCGAGAAGAAAGAAAGGAAGAAACACCAAUGGCGGCCGCUGGUUCCUCCGCCGCGUGGAAGCGCUGGCUCCGCCCUGAGGUGUAUCCGAUCUUCGCGGCGACCGGCGUGGCCGUCUCCAUCUGCGCCAUGCAGCUCAUCCGCAACAUCACCACCAACCCGGAAGUCAGGGUGACGAAGGAGAACCGGGCGGCGGGGAUCCAGGAGAACUUCGACGAGGGGAAGCGCUACUCGCAGCACGGCUUCAGGAAGUUCAUCGACCGCCAGCGCCCCGAGAUCAUGCCGGCGAUCAACAACUUCUUCUCCGACCCUCCCAAGUAUUAG
rnacentral:rRNA from 1 species